rnacentral:rRNA from 1 species
CGGGGCGAUGCCGCGUCUUACCAUGCAGUCGAGCGGAAGGCCCUUCGGGGUACUCGAGCGGCGAACGGGUGAGUAACACGUGAGCAACCUGCCCCAGGCUUUGGGAUAACCCCGGGAAACCGGGGCUAAUACCGAAUAUGACCUCUGACCGCAUGGUUGGUGGUGGAAAGUUUUUCGGCUUGGGAUGGGCUCGCGGCCUAUCAGCUUGUUGGUGGGGUGAUGGCCUACCAAGGCGACGACGGGUAGCCGGCCUGAGAGGGCGACCGGCCACACUGGGACUGAGACACGGCCCAGACUCCUACGGGAGGCAGCAGUGGGGAAUAUUGCACAAUGGGCGGAAGCCUGAUGCAGCGACGCCGCGUGAGGGAUGACGGCCUUCGGGUUGUAAACCUCUUUCAGCAGGGACGAAGCGUAAGUGACGGUACCUGCAGAAGAAGCGCCGGCCAACUACGUGCCAGCAGCCGCGGUAAGACGUAGGGCGCGAGCGUUGUCCGGAUUUAUUGGGCGUAAAGAGCUCGUAGGCGGCUUGUCGCGUCGACCGUGAAAACUUGGGGCUCAACCCCAAGCCUGCGGUCGAUACGGGCAGGCUAGAGUUCGGUAGGGGAGACUGGAAUUCCUGGUGUAGCGGUGAAAUGCGCAGAUAUCAGGAGGAACACCGGUGGCGAAGGCGGGUCUCUGGGCCGAUACUGACGCUGAGGAGCGAAAGCGUGGGGAGCGAACAGGAUUAGAUACCCUGGUAGUCCACGCUGUAAACGUUGGGCGCUAGGUGUGGGGGGCCUCUCCGGUUCCCUGUGCCGCAGCUAACGCAUUAAGCGCCCCGCCUGGGGAGUACGGCCGCAAGGCUAAACUCAAAGGAAUUGACGGGGGCCCGCACAAGCGGCGGAGCAUGCGGAUUAUUUCGAUUGCAACGCGAAGAACCUUACCUGGGUUUGACAUGCCGCAAAACUGUCAGAGAUGGCAAGGUCCUUCGGGGCGCUCACAGGUGGCAGCAUGACUGUCG